UAUUAACUUAUUAAAAAGUUUCAAAUAUAUAUAUAUAUAUAUCUAAAAAUGUAAUUAUGUACAUACAAAAAUGCCAAAUUGUUCUACUUUACAUACGCAUCGUAUUAUUUUAAUUACGAGAUUAUAGCAAAAGAAGAAAGUAGAUUGGGGUAUAUAUUAAAAUUAAGUUAAUGAUUGUUAUAUGAUCAGCAGUGUUAUACUCAAGUCAUACAGUACCAAAACUCUGUCGAGAAUGCAUCGAAGUCACGAGACAAAGUUUACAAAGAUCUAUUAUUUGAUAGAAACUUCAAGAAUAUCAACUUUUAUAACUGUGUGAUGUCAAGAAAAUUGCCAAAUGAACCAAAAAAAUGACAUGACAAAAAAGAUGGAAAUAUUUUGUGUCCUCCAAAAUUUUAAUCUGUCCAUUUGUUUUAUAUAUAUAUAGGAGAUUCCACAUAAAGAAAUGUUGGAAUAAAGCAAUUAUGAAUUAUCAUGCACAGGUA